rnacentral:pre_miRNA from 1 species
AGUAGAAUUGUUGGGUUAUAUAGUAACUUUCUUUAACAUUCUAAGGAACUGCCAAAAUAUUUUCUGAAGUGGCUAAAACAUCUUGCAUUCCUACCAGCAAU